AUUGAACGCUGGCGGCAGGCUUAACACAUGCAAGUCGAGCGGAGAGAAGUAGCUUGCUACUGAUCUUAGCGGCGGACGGGUGAGUAAUGCUUAGGAAUCUGCCUAUUGGUGGGGGACAACAUUUCGAAAGGGAUGCUAAUACAGCAUACGUCCUACGGGAGAAAGCAGGGGAUUACUUGUGACCUUGCGCUAAUAGAUGCGCCUAAGUCGGACUAGCUAGUUGGUGGGGUAAAGGCCUACCGAGGCGACGAUCUGUAGCGGGUCUGAGAGGACGAACCGCCACACUGGGACUGAGACACGGCCCAGACUCCGACGGGAGGCAGCAGUGGGGAAUAUUGGACAAUGGGGGGAACCCUGAUCCAGCCAUGCCGCGUGUGUGAAGAAGGCCUUUUGGUUGUAAAGCACUUUACGCGAGGAGGAGGCUUACCUGGUUAAUACCUGGGCUAAGUGGACGUUACUCGCAGAAUAAGCACCGGCUAACUCUGUGCCAGCAGCCGCAGUAACAC
rnacentral:rRNA from 1 species